rnacentral:rRNA from 1 species
CCUACGGGAGGCAGCAGUGGGGAAUUUUGGACAAUGGGGGCAACCCUGAUCCAGCAAUGCCGCGUGAGUGAAGAAGGCCUUCGGGUUGUAAAGCUCUUUUGUCAGGGAAGAAACAGCAGCUCUAACACAGCUGUGAAUGACGGUACCUGAAGAAUAAGCACCGGCUAACUACGUGCCAGCAGCCGCGGUAAUACGUAGGGUGCAAGCGUUAAUCGGAAUUACUGGGCGUAAAGCGUGCGCAGGCGGUUAUAUAAGACAGGUGUGAAAUCCCCGGGCUUAACCUGGGAAUUGCAUCUGUGACUGUAUAGCUAGAGUGUGUCAGAGGGGGGUAGAAUUCCACGUGUAGCAGUGAAAUGCGUAGAUAUGUGGAGGAAUACCAAUGGCGAAGGCAGCCCCCUGGGAUAACACUGACGCUCAUGCACGAAAGCGUGGGGAGCAAACAGGAUUAGAUACCCUGGUAGUCCACGCCCUAAACGAUGCUGACUAGUUGUUCGGGAUUUUAUCCUGAGUACGUAGCUAACGCGUGAAGUCNGCGCGNGGAGGUACGGUCGCGAGAGUAACGUACGAAGAGUAGAGCGUGAGAGNGCGACGGACGACGACGAGGGAGGAGG